rnacentral:rRNA from 1 species
ACUCCUACGGGAGGCAGCAGUGAGGAAUAUUGGUCAAUGGGCGAUGGCCUGAACCAGCCAAGUAGCGUGAAGGAUGACUGCCCUAUGGGUUGUAAACUUCUUUUAUAAAGGAAUAAAGUCGGGUAUGCAUACCCGUUUGCAUGUACUUUAUGAAUAAGGAUCGGCUAA